GUCUGAAGACAGCAACAGUGUACUCAUACAUAAAAUAAAUAAAUUUUUUUUUAAUUAUUCAGAAGAAAGCCAGGCAUGCCUAAGGUCUCUGAACAAGGAAUAUUUGUUUCCUUUGCAUUCCUUUGGCUGCCUACAUGU